rnacentral:rRNA from 1 species
GACGAACGCUGGCGGCGUGCUUAACACAUGCAAGUCGAACGGAAAGGCCUCUUUCGGGGGGUACUCGAGUGGCGAACGGGUGAGUAACACGUGAGUAACCUGCCCUUGACUUUGGGAUAACUUCAGGAAACUGGGGCUAAUACCGGAUAGGAGCUCCUGCUGCAUGGUGGGGGUUGGAAAGUUUCGGCGGUUGGGGAUGGACUCGCGGCUUAUCAACUUGUUGGUGGGGUAGUGGCUUACCAAGGCUUUGACGGGUAGCCGGCCUGAGAGGGUGACCGGCCACAUUGGGACUGAGAUACGGCCCAGACUCCUACGGGAGGCAGCAGGGGGGAAUAUUGCACAAUGGGUGGAAGCCGGAUGCAGCAACGCCGUGUGCGGGAGGACGGCCUUCGGGUUGGAAACCGCUUUCGCUCAUGACGAAGCUUUGUGUGACGGUAGUGGGUAAAGAAGCACCGGCUAACUACGUG